UACGUAGGGCGCAAGCGUUAUCCGGAAUUAUUGGGCGUAAAGAGCUCGUAGGCGGUUUGUCGCGUCUGCCGUGAAAGUCCGGGGCUCAACUCCGGAUCUGCGGUGGGUACGGGCAGACUAGAGUGAUGUAGGGGAGACUGGAAUUCCUGGUGUAGCGGUGUAAUGCGCAGAUAUCAGGAGGAACACCGAUGGCGAAGGCAGGUCUCUGGGCAUUAACUGACGCUGAGGAGCGAAAGCAUGGGGAGCGAACAGG
rnacentral:rRNA from 1 species